rnacentral:rRNA from 1 species
CCUACGGGUGGCAGCAGUGGGGAAUAUUGGACAAUGGGGGCAACCCUGAUCCAGCCAUGCCGCGUGUGUGAAGAAGGCCCUCGGGUUGUAAAGCACUUUCAGUGAGGAAGAACGCCUGGUGGUUAAUACCCAUCAGGAAAGACAUCACUCACAGAAGAAGCACCGGCUAACUCCGUGCCAGCAGCCGCGGUAAUACGGAGGGUGCGAGCGUUAAUCGGAAUUACUGGGCGUAAAGCGCGCGUAGGUGGCUUGAUAAGCCGGUUGUGAAAGCCCCGGGCUCAACCUGGGAACGGCAUCCGGAACUGUCAAGCUAGAGUGCAGGAGAGGAAGGUAGAAUUCCCGGUGUAGCGGUGAAAUGCGUAGAGAUCGGGAGGAAUACCAGUGGCGAAGGAGGCCUUCUGGACUGACACUGACACUGAGGUGCGAAAGCGUGGGUAGCAAACAGGAUUAGAUACCCGAGUAGUC